rnacentral:rRNA from 1 species
UGUCUGUAUCAGUCUAAGUUUCGGCUUGGAUGCACUUGCAGGCUAUGCCUGCCAACGACAAUUAAGGCUUGAGGGAAAAAACUAGGGGAAAUGUGGCCCAUUCGUGGGUGUUAUAGUCCCUUAGAAAAUACCUUGGGCUGGAUUGAGGUACGCAGCGAAUGCUAUUUGGCGAGUUGGCUGGGAAUAUUUUCUGAGGUGCUCCGGUACUGAGGUUGAUAUUUCCAGUUACACUUCUAUUCGCUUAGGUUGUUGGCUUAAUGACUCUAAAUGACCCGUCUUGAAACACGCCAAAGGAGUC